UUGGAGGGCAAGUCUGGUGCCAGCAGCCGCGGUAAUUCCAGCUCCAAUAGCGUAUAUUAAAGUUGUUGCAGUUGAAAAGCUCGUAGUUGAAUUUCGGGAUCAAUAUAUCGGUCGUGCCUCUGGUACGUACUGGUAUCAUUGAUUUCUCCCUUCUGACGAACCAUGAUUUCAUUUAUUUGGUGUCAUGGGGAGUUAGGACUGUUACUUUGAAAAAAUUAGAGUGUUUAAAGCAGGCAUUAGCUUGAAUACAUUAGCAUGGAAUAAUGAAAUAGGACGUUUGACCCUAUUUUGUUGGUUUCUAGGAUCGACGUAAUGAUUAAUAGGGAUAGUUGGGGGCAUUAGUAUUCAAUUGUCAGAGGUGAAAUUCUUGGAUUUAUUGAAGACUAACUACUGCGAAAGCAUUUGCCAAGGAUGUUUUCAUUAAUCAAGAACGAAAGUUAGGGGAUCGAAGACGAUCAGAUACCGUCGUAGUCUUAACCAUAAACUAUGCCGACUAGGGAUCGGAUGAUGUUAAUUUUAUAAUGACUCAUUCGGCGCCUUACGGGAAAC
rnacentral:rRNA from 1 species